AUGGACACGGCAUGGACAGAUGCAGUGCGAGUUUCUCCCACACCGCAUCACCCUAUGCGUUUGUCCCCUUACCUGGAGAGAGCACCUGGACUAAGGAGAGAAUUCAAUCCAUUCGCUCCUCUGUGUUGCUGGGACAGAUGCUGAGGCACGCUGCAGGCCCAGGCUUUGUGGAAUGGGACUGAUGCCAUCAGUUUGCAGUAGCCAUCAAACAGUCACGAGAUGGUCUAGUCUUCGCUGCACCUCAAGCUAUGCUACCCCAGAUGUGAUGGUUACCCUGGAUCCCCAGCCAGUUGCCGCCUGACCUAGUGUCCUUAAUGCCUCCACCGCAGCGAGCGGCUGUUCCUGAGCAUUUGAUCCCCGGCUGGAAUGCCCCACCGCACCCGACAUGCAGAUCUGGGCUCCAAACCAAGCAGCUGGCCACACAAUGAGGUUGUUCCCAGGGACUGGCAAGGGGCAGUCCUUGUCAAGCAGGAGGCACCAAGCUGACUGAGUUGCAACAGGGUGGGAUCCUCUGCACAGAGCAUCUAUUUCAGACUCCACGUGGAGUCGGCCGUCUGAAGAAUGCUGAGGCCACCUAAGUCAUUAGCUCAAGUCACGAACCAGAAACAUUUCUUCCAGCUGCCAGUUUUACAGAAGUCAGAUUUCUGCAUGAGUGCUGGCUCAAACUGCUUUCAACAACUUCCAGGGGGUGAAAAACGCUUUUUGGGGUUUUUUUUCCCUUUUUAAAAAAAAAA